UUGAACGCUGGCGGCAGGCCUCACACAUGCAAGUCGCACGGUAACAGGGAUCAGCUUGCUGAUUCGCUGACGAGUGGCGGACGGGUGAGUAAUGUCUGGGAAACUGCCUGAUGGAGGGGGAUAACUACUGGAAACGGUAGCUAAUACCGCAUAACGUCGCAAGACCAAAGAGGGGGACCUUCGGGCCUCUUGCCAUCGGAUGUGCCCAGAUGGGAUUAGCUAGUAGGUGGGGUAACGGCUCACCUAGGCGACGAUCCCUAGCUGGUCUGAGAGGAUGACCAGCCACACUGGAACUGAGACACGGUCCAGACUCCUACGGGAGGCAGCAGUGGGGAAUAUUGCACAAUGGGCGCAAGCCUGAUGCAGCCAUGCCGCGUGUAUGAAGAAGGCCUUCGGGUUGUAAAGUACUUUCAGCGGGGAGGAAGGGAGUAAAGUUAAUACCUUUGCUCAUUGACGUUACCCGCAGAAGAAGCACCGGCUAACUCCGUG
rnacentral:rRNA from 1 species